rnacentral:rRNA from 1 species
GACGAACGCUGGCGGCGUGCUUAACACAUGCAAGUCGAACGGAAAGGCCCUGCUUUUGUGGGGUGCUCGAGUGGCGAACGGGUGAGUAACACGUGAGUAACCUGCCCUUGACUUUGGGAUAACUUCAGGAAACUGGGGCUAAUACCGGAUAGGAGCUCCUGCUGCAUGGUGGGGGUUGGAAAGUUUCGGCGGUUGGGGAUGGAUUCGCGGCUUAUCAGCUUGUUGGUGGGGUAGUGGCUUACCAAGGCUUUGACGGGUAGCCGGCCUGAGAGGGUGACCGGCCACAUGGGGCCUGAGAGACGGCCCAGACUCCUACGGGAGGCAGCAGGGGGGAAUAUUGCACAAUGGGCGGAAGCCUGAUGCAGCAACGCCGCGUGCGGGAUGACGGCCUUCGGGGUGUAAACCGCUUUCGCCUGUGACGAAGCGUGAGUGACGGUAAUGGGUAAAGAAGCACCGGCUAACUACGUG